rnacentral:rRNA from 1 species
AUUUGGCGGACGGGUGAGUAAUGCUUAGGAAUCUGCCUAUUAGUGGGGGACAACAUUCCGAAAGGGAUGCUAAUACCGCAUACGUCCUACGGGAGAAAGCAGGGGCUCUUUAUGACCUUGCGCUAAUAGAUGAGCCUAAGUCGGAUUAGCUAGUUGGUGGGGUAAAGGCCUACCAAGGCGACGAUCUGUAGCGGGUCUGAGAGGAUGAUCCGCCACACUGGGACUGAGACACGGCCCAGACUCCUACGGGAGGCAGCAGUGGGGAAUAUUGGACAAUGGGGGGAACCCUGAUCCAGCCAUGCCGCGUGUGUGAAGAAGGCCUUUUGGUUGUAAAGCACUUUAAGUGGGGAGGAGGCUUACCUGGUUAAUACCUGGGCUAAGUGGACGUUACCCACAGAAUAAGCACCGGCUAACUCUGUGCCAGCAGCCGCGGUAAUAAU